rnacentral:rRNA from 1 species
UACGUAGGGGGCUAGCGUUGUCCGGAUUUAUUGGGCGUAAAGCGCGUGUAGGCGGCCCGAUAAGUCCGCUGUGAAAGUCCAGGGCUCAACCCUGGGAUGCCGGUGGAUACUGUCGGGCUCGAGUCCGGAAGAGGCGAGCGGAAUUCCUGGUGUAGCGGUGAAAUGACGCAGAUAUCAGGAGGAACACCAAUGGCGAAGGCAGCUCGCUGGGACGUGACUGACGCUGAGACGCGAAAGCGUGGGGAGCAAACAGG